UGGCCGAUACCAUUCCCUGCUCUGCGGCCGAGUUCCAAAUCCUUAGCUUGCUGGAAACCAUCAAACAGCAAAACGACCAGCUUGUGGCUAAGGUGAACCUGCUCACCAGUAGGAUGAACAGCACCCCGGGGCCAGAUGCGGAGAUGCCAGACAGCUUUCAGUUUCCCCUGGAACAAUUGGAGGCAGUGGAGGCAUUUGAAAUGUUUUUAAAGGAACCGUCAAAUGGCCCAGCUCGACAGAGAGUGAUUUCAUCUUUGGCCACCAUUGGAGGCCAGGAUGUGAAGAGGGUG